rnacentral:rRNA from 1 species
GACAGAGGAUGCAAGCGUUAUCCGGAAUGAUUGGGCGUAAAGCGUCUGUAGGUGGCUUUUCAAGUCCGCCGUCAAAUCCCAGGGCUCAACCCUGGACAGGCGGUGGAAACUACCAAGCUGGAGUACGGUAGGGGCAGAGGGAAUUUCCGGUGGAGCGGUGAAAUGCAUUGAGAUCGGAAAGAACACCAACGGUGAAAGCGCUCUGCUGGGCCGACACUGACACUGAGACGCGAAAGCGUGGGGAGCAAACAGG